rnacentral:rRNA from 1 species
AGAGUUUGAUCCUGGCUCAGGAUGAACGCUGGCGGCGUGCUUAACACAUGCAAGUCGAACGAUCCUUCGGGAUAGUGGCGGACGGGUGAGUAACGCGUGGGAAUCUGCCCUCAGGAGGGGGAUAACGGCUGGAAACGGCCGCUAAUACCCCAUAUGCCGAGAGGUGAAAUGAAUUUCGCCUGAGGAUGAGCCCGCGUCUGAUUAGCUAGUUGGUGGGGUGAAGGCCUACCAAGGCAACGAUCAGUAGCUGGUCUGAGAGGAUGAUCAGCCACACUGGGACUGAGACACGGCCCAGACUCCUACGGGAGGCAGCAGUGGGGAAUUUUCCGCAAUGGGCGAAAGCCUGACGGAGCAACGCCGCGUGAGGGAUGAAGGCCUCUGGGCUGUAAACCUCUUUUCUCAAGGAAGAAGACCUGACGGUACUUGAGGAAUAAGCCACGGCUAAUUCCGUGCCAGCAGCCGCGGUAAUACGGGAGUGGCAAGCGUUAUCCGGAAUUAUUGGGCGUAAAGCGUCCGCAGGCGGCCUUGUAAGUCUGUUGUUAAAGCGUGGAGCUCAACUCCAUUUAAGCAAUGGAAACUACAAGGCUGGAGUGUGGUAGGGGCAGAGGGAAUUCCCGGUGUAGCGGUGAAAUGCGUAGAUAUCGGGAAGAACACCAGUGGCGAAGGCGCUCUGCUGGGCCAUAACUGACGCUCAUGGACGAAAGCCAGGGGAGCGAAAGGGAUUAGAUACCCCUGUAGUCCUGCCGUAAACGAUGAACACUAGGUGUUGGGGGAAUCGACCCCCUCGGUGUCGUAGCCAACGCGUUAAGUGUUCCGCCUGGGGAGUACGCACGCAAGUGUGAAACUCAAAGGAAUUGACGGGGGCCCGCACAAGCGGUGGAGUAUGUGGUUUAAUUCGAUGCAACGCGAAGAACCUUACCAGGGUUUGACAUCCUGCGAACCCCUGAGAAAUCGGGGGGUGCCUUCGGGAGCGCAGAGACAGGUGGUGCAUGGCUGUCGUCAGCUCGUGUCGUGAGAUGUUGGGUUAAGUCCCGCAACGAGCGCAACCCACGUCUUUAGUUGCCAGCAUUCAGUUGGGCACUCUAGAGAGACCGCCGGUGAUAAACCGGAGGAAGGUGUGGAUGACGUCAAGUCAUCAUGCCCCUUACAUCCUGGGCUACACACGUACUACAAUGCUACGGACAAAGGGCAGCAAGCUCGCGAGAGUUAGCAAAUCCCAUAAACCGUGGCUCAGUUCAGAUCGUAGGCUGCAACUCGCCUACGUGAAGGAGGAAUCGCUAGUAAUCGCAGGUCAGCAUACUGCGGUGAAUACGUUCCCGGGCCUUGUACACACCGCCCGUCACACCAUGGAAGCUGGUCACGCCCGAAG